GACGAACGCUGGCGGCGUGCUUAACACAUGCAAGUCGAACGGAAAGGCCCGGCUUUUGCGGGGUGCUCGAGUGGCGAAGGGGUGAGUAAAACGUGAGUAAACUGCCCCUGAAUUUGGGAUAACUUCAGGAAACAGGGGCUAAUAUCGGAUAGGAGCUCCUGCUGCAUGGGGGGGGUUGGAAAGAUUCGGCGGUGUGGGAUGGAAUCGCGGCUUAUCAGCUUGUUGGGGGGGUAGGGGCGUACGAGGGCUUUGACGGGUAGCCGGCCUGGGAGGGUGACCGGCCACCUUGGGACUGAGAUACGGCCCAGACUCCUACGUGACGCAGCAGUGGGGAAUAUUGCACAACGGGCCCACGCCUGAUACAGCGACCCCCCGUGCGUGAUGACGUCCUUCGGGUUGUAAACCGCUUUCGCCUGUGCCGUAGCGUGCGUGACGGUACUGGGUCAGGAAGCCCCGGCUAACUACGUG
rnacentral:rRNA from 1 species